UUUAGGUAGAGCGUCGGAUUUAUACCAACGGGGGUAGAGCACUGGAUGGAUGCGGGGAGCGCGAGCUUUACCAAUUCUAACCAAACUCCGAAUACCGUUGAGUACUAUCUGGCAGACACACUAUGGGUGCUAAGGUCCAUAGUGGAGAGGGAAACAGCCCUGACCGACAGCUAAGGUCCCAAAGUCAUGUCUAAGUGGGAAAGCAUGUGAGAAGGCCAAAACAACCAGGAGGUUGGCUUAGAAGCAGCCACCCUUUAAAGAAAGCGUAACAGCUCACUG
rnacentral:rRNA from 1 species